rnacentral:rRNA from 1 species
GACGAACGCUGGCGGCGUGCCUAAUACAUGCAAGUCGAGCGGACCGGAUUGGGGCUUGCCUUGAUUCGGUCAGCGGCGGACGGGUGAGUAACACGUGGGCAACCUGCCCGCAAGACCGGGAUAACUCCGGGAAACCGGAGCUAAUACCGGAUAACACCGAAGACCGCAUGGUCUUCGGUUGAAAGGCGGCCUUUGGGCUGUCACUUGCGGAUGGGCCCGCGGCGCAUUAGCUAGUUGGUGAGGUAACGGCUCACCAAGGCGACGAUGCGUAGCCGGCCUGAGAGGGUGACCGGCCACACUGGGACUGAGACACGGCCCAGACUCCUACGGGAGGCAGCAGUAGGGAAUCUUCCGCAAUGGGCGAAAGCCUGACGGAGCGACGCCGCGUGAGCGAAGAAGGCCUUCGGGUCGUAAAGCUCUGUUGUGAGGGACGAAGGAGCGCCGUUCGAAGAGGGCGGCGCGGUGACGGUACCUCACGAGAAAGCCCCGGCUAACUACGU